rnacentral:rRNA from 1 species
UAGGGAAUCUUCGGCAAUGGACGAAAGUCUGACCGAGCAACGCCGCGUGAGUGAAGAAGGUUUUCGGAUCGUAAAACUCUGUUGGUAGAGAAGAACGUUGGUGAGAGUGGAAAGCUCAUCAAGUGACGGUAACUACCCAGAAAGUCACGGCUAACUACGUGCC